rnacentral:rRNA from 1 species
UACGGAGGGUGCAAGCGUUAAUCGGAAUUACUGGGCGUAAAGCGCACGCAGGCGGCUGGUUAAGUCGGAUGUGAAAUCCCCAGGCUCAACCUGGGAAUUGCAUUCGAUGCUGCCCGGCUGGAGUAUGGGAGAGGGAAGUGGAAUUCCCGGUGUAGCGGUGAAAUGCGUAGAGAUCGGGAGGAACACCAGUGGCGAAGGCGGCCCUCUGGACCGAGACUGACGCUGAGGUGCGAAAGCGAGGGGAGCAAACGGG